UACAGCCACAUUCACGUCGUCCGUUUCAAGGAGGUUUCAACCCUAAUCUCGCAAUUGCAUCCCGACCCGUCUUCACGUGUUGUCGCCGUCGUGGUUCUUGCGCCAUCGCUGUGCCACUGCAGAGACCAAUCAAACGCGCAUCGCCACUCCCCGAUUCCAUUUAUAAUCCAACCCGUUUUGUCAAAAAGAAACUCAACCUUACUCAGCGCAAUCGCAUCCCAACCCCACGCUAGUUAUCGUUGUCGUCUUGCAUGCCCCGUCGUCGUGCCACCGAACAUCCCCCCUAAAUUCGCAACACCCUAAACAACCCCCUCUCGUGGAGCCAUAGUGUUCCACCUCCAUAUAUAGGAACAAGGUGUAGUUGUUGUCGCUGAAUGCGGUUCGAGAGUGUUGCGUCAAUGGAACCAUCAACUUGUGAAGUAUAACUAUUGCCGGAUCACACUGGAAUUCAACUAGAGAAAAUCCCUUACAUAAGAUUGCGAUUUGAUUCCUUGCAGCUGGCACAAGAGAUCCUUCAAAGGUUGGUCUAGACCACAUUCGAGGUCCUUCAAAGGUGGCAACGAAGGGUUAGCCGAGAUCGAAGAGGCUUGGAGCUAAACUGGACAGAUCGAUCAAUAAAUCUAUACAAAGAAAGAAGAAAAAUACACUCCCAGAAAAUGAUGUAACAGCCAUUUGGAAUAUAGCGGUUAAUUCUGCUGUUUGGGAGAAUGAAUCGUAGGAACAUGGCAGGUUCAUGUCAUUGUUAAACUCGGUUGGAAACAGUUAAAAGAGUUUUGUUUAGGGAUUUAUAAGAAGUCCUUUGGUUUUUGAAUUUUUAUUUUUCCUUUUUUUAACACAAUUCUUGUGGUAUAUGAUU